GAGGGUAGAACUCAGUGGUAGAGCAUAUGUCUAGCAUGCAUGAGGUCCUGAGUUCAAUCCCCAGUACCUCCG
rnacentral:tRNA from 1 species